rnacentral:tRNA from 1 species
GAGUAUAUAGCUCAAUGGUAGAGCACAUGCUUAGCACGCAUGAGGUCCUGGGUUCAAUCCUCAGUAUGAUCA